UUCAUUUUCCUAUUUGUGUGAGAUUGUUUCACCAAGUCUAUUAUAGCCUUGCAGUCACAAUGAAUAGAUAAAGCAGGCAAUGGUUUCUCCACCAGAGGCAUAUCCAUAAACUCUUAAUCCAUUUCAGCCUCAGUGCAAGUAGUAUCCAAAGCUAUGAGUUCAGACUCCAUAGUACUUCUAGAAAUAAUUGUUUGCUUCUUCG
rnacentral:lncRNA from 1 species